rnacentral:rRNA from 1 species
UACGUAGGGUGCAAGCGUUGUCCGGAAUUAUUGGGCGUAAAGAGCUUGUAGGCGGUUUGUCGCGUCUGCCGUGAAAUUUCGGGGCUCAACCCCGAACUUGCAGUGGGUACGGGCAGACUAGAGUGUGGUAGGGGAGACUGGAAUUCCUGGUGUAGCGGUGAAAUGCGCAGAUAUCAGGAGGAACACCGAUGGCGAAGGCAGGUCUCUGGGCCACUACUGACGCUGAGAAGCGAAAGCAUGGGGAGCGAACAGG